rnacentral:rRNA from 1 species
GAUAAACGCUAGCGGUGCGCCUAACACAUGCAAGUCGAGCGAUCGAACUGGACUGAUCACCCUUCGGGGUGAGAGGACCAGUGACGGAGCGGCGGACUGGUGAGUAACGCGUAGCCAACCUACCCCCUUGACGGAGAUAACUACCUGAAAGGGUAGCUAAUACCCGAUAUUGCUCGAGAUCGAAAGAUCUUGAGCCAAAGGCGGUCUUGCCGUCGCAAGAGGAGGGGGCUGCGUCCUAUUAGCUUGUUGGUGGGGUAAUAGCCCACCAAGGCGAUGAUGGGUAGCUGGUCUGAGAGGAUGGCCAGCCACAUUGGGACUGAGAUACGGCCCAGACUUCUACGGGAGGCAGCAGUGGGGAAUCUUUCGCAAUGGGCGAAAGCCUGACGGAGCGACACCGCGUGGGGGAUGAAGGCUUUCGGGUUGUAAACCUCUUUUCUGGGGGAAGAAUAAGGGCGGGAGGAAAUGCCCGUCCGAUGACGGUACCCCAGGAAUAAGCAUCGGCUAACUUCGUGCCAGCAGCCGCGGUAAGGCGAAGGAUGCAAGCGUUAUCCGGAAUUACUGGGCGUAAAGGGCGCCUAGGCGGCUGAGUAAGUCACCCGUGAAAGCCCUCAGCUCAACUGAGGAAUGUCGAGUGAAACUGCUCAGCUUGGGUGCAGGAGAGGAGGGUGGAACUCACAGAGUAGCGGUGGAAUGCGUAGAUACUGUGAGGUACCCCGAUGGCGAAGGCAACCCUCUGGCUGCUACUGACGCUGAAGCGCGAAAGCGUGGGGAGCAAAGGGGAUUAGAUACCCCCGUAGUCCACGCCGCAAACGAUGUUCACUGGGUGUCGGUCGCUAAUACAGAUCGGUGCCGGAGCUAACGCGUUAAGUGAACCGCCUGGGGAGUACGGCCGCAAGGCUAAAACUCAAGAGAAUUGACGGGGCCCCGCACAAGCGGUGGAGCACGUGGUUUAAUUCGAUGAUAAGCGAAGAACCUCACCUGGGUUUGACAUGCUAGUGGUAGGAACCGGAAACGGGGACGACCCUUGCCUUCGGGUAAGGGAGCUAGUACAGGUGAUGCAUGGCUGUCGUCAGUUCGUGUCGUGGGACGUUGGGUUAAGUCCCGAAACGAGCGCAACCCCUGUCGUCAGUUGCCAGCGGGUAAAGCCGGGGACUCUGACGAGACUGCCGGUGAAUAGCCGGAGGAAGGAGGGGAUGACGUCAAGUCAUCAUGUCCCUUAUGCCCAGGGCGACACACAUGCUACAAUGGGGGGUACAAAGGGCUGCAAUGCCGUAAGGCUGAGCCAAUCCCAAAAAACCUUCCUCAGUUCGGAUUGAGGUCUGUAACUCGACCUCAUGAAGCCGGAAUCGCUAGUAAUCGCAGGUCAGCCACACUGCGGUGAAUAUGUACUCGGGGCUUGUACACACCGCCCGUCACACCAACCGAGUGGGGGGUACUUGAAGUCGCUCUUUAUAGAGCGCCGAGGGUAACCUCCGCAAGAGGGGUG